rnacentral:lncRNA from 1 species
UUGGUCUUGAGUCAUUAUCAAUAUCACCAUCCUCCUCCUCCUCCUCCUCAUCAUCAUCAUCAUCAGAAGAAGACCAUGAAUCUGAAAUCGUAAGCUCUCUAUGUUCUCAAUCUGGUCAGCUCAUUUUUAUCUUACGGAUUAUACUACUAAAUUUACAUAUAUAAGAACAUCAAGUGAGGUUAGAAGCCAAUCCGGAGCAUAAGUGUUUAGUAAGCUAAAACUACAAAAGAGGAAGUUUAAGAUAUAAGUAAGAAAGUUAAUAUUGAAAAUAUAUAGAAUUAAAUUCCAACUGUAUUUUCAUUGAUAUGUGUGGUAGGUAAAAGCUAUAUUUAUGUUAAUGAAUAGGUUCAAGAGACAGGAUUUAUGGCGAUGGUAACAAGACUGGUAAGAAGGAGACCAAGGCCAGCUUACAGCUCAGGACGCCCUGGUCAAAUCGACUGAUUAUGAUCAAAGACUUGUGUCUUUGUGUUUGUAUGUUUUCAUGUUUAAACUCACGUAUGGGGUCUUAAUGUCCUCAGGCCGUCUCCAUGGCAUGGCAGUCUCUGUAGAAAGUAUCUAAUCCAAGAAAAAAUAAAAGUAAAGAAGUUUGGUUUUGAUUUCAUCAUCGUAUAUACAAGAAGAAAAAAGACUUAGAGACCAUCGAGACAGACACAACAUACCUUUGUUUUUCUUGUUUCAGCUUAUUUAUCGUGUACUGUAAUUUUUUCUUCCUUUUCUCCCACCUAAACUCCUUUUGUUCGGUGUUGUGUCUGCUACAUUAAACUGCUGCUGCAAAUACCCUGAGCUUCAGCUGCUUCAUCUGUGAUGAUCAGGCCAUCAGCGACGUCUUCCUCCUCGUUAUCUCUUAUAACGCUAAUAACCACAGAAUUGCGUAAGAAACAUCAUUGACAAUUGAGAAGAUGUCUAGUUAUGCAAACAUAACAUGAUCGAUGUGAACACGGAAGCAAACAAUAAAAAACUAGAUUUAAGAGCUGUGGCACCCAAAAUAUUAUACUCCAAGAGACAUUGAAACCCGCAAUAGACUGUAUCAGGACAGUCCAUGCUUGCAAAAAGACAAAAUACAUCAUGUUGCUUCUGCUUUGAAUCCUCACUAGCCUCCAAGAGAUUCAAAAAAAAAUUUUGGACAACAUAGAUUCAAGAUUAUACCAAACAUAUUGGUGCUGCGACAUGUAUCAUAGAAACAGUACAACACAAUGUAAACAAAAGGAAAAAAAAACUAGAAUAACCUGCUUAUAAUUUGGAGGGACAGCAAUAUGUUAUAAUAAAAUAGAGCAUGCAUCCAGUAAUUCUUAUUCACUUAAUUAGUAUACUCUCUUGUAGUGCAGUCCUCAUAAAUCUAACUGGACGGAUAACCAAAGUCGAGGUCAGACUGAUUACUUGUGCUAGGCUUAUCCUCUUUUUCUUCACUGAAACUUCCAUCACUCUGCAGCAACAUGAGAGGAUCUCUCAGGAAUGGAUCUGCAUUGACCACGAGAACCUUUUUGCAGUAUUCUUUGCUCGAUCAUUUACGGAUGUAAUAAGAUAAGAGUAUCAUAGGCUAAGCAGCAGCAGAGUUUCUGCUCAGUUGUGUGAGUUACUCUAUUAUGUCCAUCAUCCAUAAAACGUUCUAUCCACACGAAUUAUUUCUUCUUCUUGAUCAUCUGUAGGGUAGGACUCGAUAUAUGACUAAAUAACUUGCCAAGCCUUAGUGAUAUCAGCUUCUAUUUCCUAGUGAGAGAAUAAGAACUGAUCUGAAGAAAAAAACAAUAGGGAAAAAAUGAGACGAAAAAGAAGAAAGAAGAGAAUAGUGAAAGAGAGAAUGAAUUAGGUUUAGUGGCAGAUGAGAAUCUAUACUGAUUUUUCACCUCUAAGUUCUUAAAUUGAACUAUGGAAGGACUCUUGCAUUUUCUUGGAUGAGAACCUAAAACCUAUGGGCCCUAUUAGAGAGGAGGCGCUUGAUCUAACGGUGGCUGACAUCUUGACAUCUGACCUUAAAGGGAAUAGAGGAAGAAUUAAAGAGCUCUUACCAGCGUUUGUUCCUCAGAUCCUAAGCAUUCAACCAAGCGUCAAAGGGGCAGAGGACUCGUUUAUUUGGAGAACUACAAAUCUGGCAUUUACACCGCUAAAUCGGGUUACUUUGCUGCUUAUGUACCUACACAAAACUCAUUGUCAGUACCACAAGAUGAGUUCAGUUGGAUUAAGGUCGUUUGGUCAUCGAAGUCCUCACCAAAAAUGAA